AUGACUGGCAAAAGAAGCCUUCUUAUGGACUCAACCUUACCUCCAUCCGACAAGAGUCACAUCACAUUUCCUGACACUGGUAAAAGUAAGGUACUGGGUCUAGGUAGAGUUGCAAUCUCAAAGGAUCAACACAUGGAUAAAGUCAUGCUUGUUGAAUCCCUUUGCUUCAACUUAAUGUCUGUCUCAAUGCUUUGCGAUUUGAACAUGAUCGUAAUAUUUGGAAAAUAUCGCUACCUUGUACUAAUGGAAUCUGACAAGUCUCUAGUGUUUGAAGGGUAUCGGAAAGAUGAUUUGUAUGUAGUAGAUUUCUCGGCAGGACCACAGCUUGCCGUAUGUCUUCUAGCAAAAUCUUCAGAAUGCUGGCUCUGGCAUCGGAGGCUAGGGCAUGCUGGCAUGAGGAACCUCCACACCCUUGCAAAGAAGAAGCAUGUCAUAGGCAUCGAGGGUGUCAAAUUCAAAAAAGAUCACUUAUGCGGUGCCUGUGAAGUAGGAAAGAUGACGAGGGCCAAACAUCCCUCGAAGACAAUCAUGACAACCACUCGACCCUUCGAACUGCUCCACAUGGAUCUUUUCGGUCCCACUCAUUACUCAACUCUUACUACUACUGCUUGUCUCUAUGACUUUGUCAUUGUUGAUGAUUAUUCUAGAUAUACUUGGGUGCACAUAAUCCUCUACAAGACUGAAGUGCAGGAUGUCUUCAGACGCUUCGUCAAUCGAGCAAUGAACAACUAUGGCGCCAAGAUAAAGCACAUCAGAAGUGACAAUGGCACUGAAUUCAAUAACACUGGCCUUGAUACAUAUCUUGAUACCUUGGGCAUCACACAUGAAUUCUUAGCCCCGUACACGCCACAGCAGAAUGGCGUCGUCGAACGCAAGAACAGAACCCUCAUUAAGAUGGUCCGAACGAUGCUUGAUGAAUAA
rnacentral:rRNA from 1 species